rnacentral:rRNA from 1 species
GUGGGGAAUAUUGGACAAUGGGCGAAAGCCUGAUCCAGCCAUGCCGCGUGUGUGAAGAAGGUCUUCGGAUUGUAAAGCACUUUAAGUUGGGAGGAAGGGCAGUAAGUUAAUACCUUGCUGUUUUGACGUUACCGACAGAAUAAGCACCGGCUAACUUCGUGCCAGCAGCCGCGGUAAUACGAAGGGUGCAAGCGUUAAUCGGAAUUACUGGGCGUAAAGCGCGCGUAGGUGGUUUUGUAAGUUGGAGGUGAAAUCCCCGGGCUCAACCUGGGAACUGCCUCCAAAACUGCAUGACUAGAGUACGGUAGAGGGUAGUGGAAUUUCCUGUGUAGCGGUGAAAUGCGUAGAUAUAGGAAGGAACACCAGUGGCGAAGGCGACUACCUGGACUGAUACUGACACUGAGGUGCGAAAGCGUGGGGAGCAAACAGGAUUAGAACCCCCAGUAGUCC